AGGAAUCUGUGUUUUUAAGAAGCCUCCCAGGUGAUUCUUUUACUGGGGCAGAUGGGAAACUCAAGAUUAAUGCAGUGAUAGACGGUGGGUGGGAAAGAAAAGUAAAGAGAUGCGAGCAGGUUCCAGAGGCCAGGGGCUGCUCACUGGAAGCAUCUGGGGGAGACUGAAAGAAAUACUGAUGGCACAGACACUACUCCAGGCUUCAACAAAAAUGAUGAGAAGAAAUUGUUGAGGGAGCCCAAAGAAACACAUGUGGAGGCAGAGCCAUCUUGGCACUGUAAAGGGAGCUGGAAGAAAGAUGGAAACAAUGAUGACACUGUCAAGUUGAAGAAUUAACCAACCCUGAAGCGCCUACCUCUGGACUUGUUAUACAAAACAGUGAAUUUUUCUUAUUGCUUAAGCUAUUUUGAGUAGGAUUUUCUGUUAUUGUACUUGAAAACACCCCACUGAUUGAUAUUUCUGGAGCAUGUAUGUUCAGGAUAU
rnacentral:lncRNA from 1 species